ACCUGGCUCACACCGGUUUAAACUCAGAUCAUGUAAAAUUUUAAAGGUCGAACAGACCCAAACUAUCAGCUUCUACACCAACAAUCAAUUUUAAUCCAACAUCGAGGUCGCAACCCCCCCCUUCGAUAAGAACUCUAAAGAGGAUUACGCUGUUAUCCCUAAGGUAAUUUUAUCUUUUAAUCUUCACCAAGGAUCAUUUACCUAUAAAUCAAUAUCUCAAUUAAGAAAAGUUUAAUUAAUUUUCCCAUCACCCCAACAAAAUAAAUAAAAAUAAAACAGAAUAAUUCUCUCUCCUUCAUACCACUCUAUUCCCAUUUAUAAAACUCUAUAGGGUCUUCUCGUCUUUCAUAAACAUUUAGGCUUUUUCACCUAAAAAUAAAAUUCUAUCAAAUUUUUCUAGAGACAGCUAUUUUUCCAUCAAACCCUUCAUUCAAGCUUUCAAUUAAAAAACUAGUGAUUAUGCUACCUUUGCACGGUCAAGAUACCGCGGCCCUUUAAUUCUUCAGCGAGCAGGCCCGACCUGAAAUCAUUUAUCAACAAGCCAUGU
rnacentral:rRNA from 1 species